rnacentral:misc_RNA from 1 species
CCAUUUGACACCAAUGACUUUUCUUCCUUCAAGUUUCUUAACCAACUCCCAAGUUUUAUUUUUUUUCAAAUCAUAAGCAGCUAUUCGUCCAUUGCUUUCUUCCAUUUUGAAUCUUGCAAUGCUUCUUCAGGACCACCAGGUUCACAGACUGCCACAUUACAUUCUGCAUAGAUGUCUGAAAGUGACCUUGUACCUCUAAUUGGAGGAUCAUCUUCCAAUUCGUCUUGCCAUGGAUCUGUUAGUUUCUCUUCAGUAACACCUUUUGGUUCCUUUGAAGUAGUAUCCUUCUUCUGCAAAUUAUUCCAGUCCCAUUAUUCAUCCUCAUUAAAGUGUACAUCCCUGUUGAAUGUUAUUUUUUCUGUUUGAGGAUGAUACACUUUGUAGGCUUUAGAGACUGAACCAUAGCCUACAAAGAUACCUGGAAUUGGUUUUUUGUCAAGCUUGUCGCGUUUAGCCUGUGGCACAUGAACAAAACAUACACAACCAAAUAUUUGAAGGAAACUUAUUGAAGGUUUAUACCCAUACCAAGCUUCAAACGAAGUUUUAUCUUCCAAAGCCUUGGUCGAAAGUCGAUUCUGCAAAAAUACUGCUGUGUUGGCUGCCUUUGCCCAAAACUUUUUGGGUAAAUCUUUCUCAUGCAACAUGCAUCUAGCCAUCUCCAUUAUUAAUCUAUUCCUUCGUUCACUAACUCCAUUCUGUUCUGGAGUGUAUGAGGCAGUAAGCUGAUGUUCAAUGCCAGCUUCUUCACAAAACAAAUUAAACUCUGCUGAAGCAUAUUAUUUUCCAUUAUCAUACUGCAACACUUGAAUCUUACAACCACUUUGAUUUUCUAUCAUUUUCUUGAAUUUCCAAAAUACUCUAGCAACCUUUGAUUUGAAUUUUAAGAAAAAAAUCUAGCACAUUCUUGUGAAAUCAUCAAUAAAAAGAAUGUAGUAAAGACUACCUUGUAAUGAUGGCGCUCUUUGAGGUCCAGCAACAUCUGUAUGAAUAAGUUACACUUUUUUGGAAGCUCUUCAGGUUGAUUUUGCAAAUGGCAACCUGUUUUGCUUACCAAAUUGACAGGAAAUACAAUCUGGCAAAUAGUCGUCAAGCUUCGAUAGUCCCCUUGCCAUGUCACUUUUCUGUAAUUUUAACAUCCUUUAAAGAUGACAAUGCCCAAGCUUCUUAUGCCAAAUUUCCGUGUUGCUGGAUUUGGUGAAAUAAGCUAUCUGCACCUCUGUAGGAUCAUAUGCAAAGCUUUUUCCCUUCAUUUUAACCUUUAAAAUUUCUUUUCUAGAUGUGUCAAAAAUGAGACAAUGGAAAUUUGCAAAGGAUACUUUAAAUCCUUUUUCUAACAGCUGGCCAACACUCAAUAGAUUUUGAUCAAUUUUAGGUACAUAAAGAACAUCAGAAAUUGUUUUUGUACCUGAGCUGAUUGUAAUUGCAACAGUUCAAUUCCUUUUGUAGGUAGAUAGCCUCCGUUGCCAAUUCUGAUCUUCUUGACUUUGGAAGGCCUCAAAUCUUUAAAGAGAGUGUUAUCUAAAGUCUUGUGGUUUGUACAACCACUGCCAAUCAACCAACUUUCUGAAGAACUUCUAGUUGAAAAACACGUUGCUACAAACAUCCGAUCUUCUUCUUCUUCAUCAGCAACUUGAGCAGCUUCAUCUUGGCUUUGGACCUCAUUAUUGCAAAUCACAGCUUCAUGUCCAAGCUGAUUACAUUUGCUACACUUUGCAUCAGGCCUUCUCCAACAUUUGGAAGGUGGAUGACCGAUUUUGCCGCAGUGCUAACAAGGUGGAUAGUUCUUUUUUGAAUUUCUACUAUAGCUGCGAUUUUAAUUAUUUUUCUUGAUUUUUUCAGCUACCUGGUGUUUGGCUGACAGAGCUCCUUCGACAACACAUUCUUGCCUUAUUAGCCUCCUCUGAUCUUGAGCCUGUAAGGCGUUUAACAGCUCUGCCAAAGUGAUAUUAGACAGUUCCUUUGUAUUUUCUAAGGUAGUAAUGGCAGCUUCGUAUCUCUUUGGCACAGUUACAAGAAUUUUUUGAAUAAUUCUUGAAUCUAAAAAUUGAGUGCAAGCAACCGUACCUUGUUUGCAAUCCCCAAUAAUUUGUCUGAGUAUUCUUUGACUGGCUCAGAAUCUUUCAUCCUCUGCAAUUUAAGCUCCCUUAAUAAAUUUAGCACCUGCAUGCCUCGAAUCCUUUCAUCUCCUUUACAUUCUUCUUUGAGAUAAUCCCAAAUCUCUUUUGCAGAUUUAAGAGACAUGAUCCUUGUGAAGAUCGUUUCUGAAACAGCAGCAAAAAGUGUUGCUUUUGCCUUGGACUUCCUGGUCUUCUUUUCCUCAUGAUUUUUCAUUUAGGCUACGGUAGGAUUAUUUGGCAAAGGAUCAACUUCAUAAUCUUCUUCCACAGCCUCCCAAAGAUCCAUAGCCUCAAGGUAAGCAAUCAUUCUCACAGACCAUAGUUGAUAAUUCUCUCUAUCAAAAGUUGGAGGAGAAAGGUUGGAAUGGCUGGUUUCACUCUCCAUCAUACACACAGGUCCUUUAAGAAAUAAGCUCUGAUACCAGAUGUUAGUAUUAAAAGACAAAAAACAAAGGAAAGGAAAGGUAAAAAAAACUAAGAGAAAGAAGUACGAAACUGUAAAGACUCACACUUUAUUACAUAUCAGCUUUUGGUUUAAAUAGCUGAGUUACAAACAGAAAACUAACAGAAGUUCAGAAAAAUCAACAAAUUUAAUUGUGAUUCCUAAAAAUCACAUAACAAAUAAUAAUCCCCUUUAGAAUAGGAUUACAUAUUGACUAGGAUUUUAUUAUAAUUAUUAUUAUUUAAAAAAACAAGAAAAUAAACAUAGAAGUCACGUACAAAACUUAAAGCAAACAUUUAACACUCCUCCUUGUUUUAAGAAUUGCAGACCCCAAUUCUUUGUCGUAGAAUCUCAAACUUGCUAACUGAAAGUGGCUUCGUGAAUAGGUAUGCUAGCUGGUCUUCAGAAAUGCAAUAAACCAAGGUGAGUUCUCCAUCUUGCUGGACUUCCCUCAAGAAAUAGAGCUUAAUAUUGAAAUGCUUGGUCUUCCUGUGAAAUACUGAAUUGUUUGAAAUUGCAAUAGCGGCUUGAUUGUCAAGAAAAAUUUUAGUGCUUUCUUUCUGCUCCAUGUGUAAAUCAAACAAGAUCUUCUUCAGCCAUAAAACUUGAUUUGUAGCUGCUGUUGCUACUAUAAAUUCUGCGUCUACAGUAGAUUGUGCUACAACUUCCUAUUUCUUGGAACACCAUGAGAAAACUCCUGAGCCUAGAUUGAAACAAUAUCCUUAGGUGCUUUUCAUAUCAUCAACUGAUCCAGCCCAGUUACUAUAUGAAAAACCACAUAGCUUGAAAUUUUCACACCUUUAAAACUUAACUCCAUAAUCAAUAGUACUUUUGACAUACCUUAAUAUUCUUUUUGCUGCAGUUAAAUGCAUUUCACUAGGACAAUGCAUGAAUCUCAUAAGAGACUUACAGCAAAUAGAAUGUCAAGCCUUGUUGUUGUGAGAUACAUCAGGCAUCCAAUCAAGCUCCUGCAAUAACCUUCAUCAACUUUAUUAGCUCUAUCUUCCUUACUUAGCUUCUCCUUUUGAUUCAUUGGUGUGCUUAUCGCCUUACAUUCUUCCAUCUGAAAAUUUUUCAGGAUUUCCUUCGGAUAUUUUUUCUGAUAGAUGAACACUUCAUUUUCUCCUUGCCUGAUCUCCAUUCCAAGAAAAUAGGUCAUGAGACCAAGAUCUAUCAUUUCAAAAGCCUGCAUCAUUUCCUUUUUAAAGUCUUCAACUAACUUUGCAUCAUUUCCUAUCACUAAAAGAUCAUCAACAUAAAGAGACACGAUGAGAGUGUCAUUAUCUUUAUGUUUCACAUAAAGAGUGGCUUCAGACAAGCUUUUAACAAAACCAAGGUCUAACAAGUGUGCAUCUAUCCUACUAUACCAAGCUCUUAGCGCUUGCUUCAAGCCAUAUAGAGCCUUUUUUAGUAGGUAGACCUUGUCUUCUUCACCUUGCUUCACAAAUCCUUUGGGCUGCUCUACAUAUAUUUCCUCUUUUAAGAUGCCAUUUAAAAAAGCUAAUUUGACAUCCAGCUGAAACACUUUCCAUCCCAUUUGUGCUGAUAAUGCAAGCAACAACUUGAUUGUAUCUAGUCUUGCAACAGGGGCAAAAGUGUCAGAAUAAUCAACGUCGUAUAUUUGAGCAUACCCUUUAACGACGAGUCUGGCCUUAUGUUUGUUGAUGGAGCUAUCUGCAUUCAGCUUUGUUCUGAACACCCAUUUGACACCAAUGACU